rnacentral:rRNA from 1 species
UACGGAGGGUGCAAGCGUUGUUCGGAAUCACUGGGCGUAAAGGGCGCGUAGGCGGGCGUGAAAGUCGGUUGUGAAAUCCCCGGGCUUAACCUGGGAACUGCAGUCGAUACUACACGUCUUGAGUGCUUGAGAGGGUGAUGGAAUUCCUGGUGUAGAGGUGAAAUUCGUAGAUAUCAGGAGGAACACCGGAGGCGAAGGCGGUCACCUGGCGAGACACUGACGCUGAGGCGCGAAAGCGCGGGGAGCAAACAGG